rnacentral:rRNA from 1 species
AUUGAACGCUGGCGGCAUGCUUUACACAUGCAAGUCGAACGGCAGCGAGGAGAAGCUUGCUUCUCUGUCGGCGAGUGGCGAACGGGUGAGUAUAGCAUCGGAACGUGCCAAGUAGUGGGGGAUAACCAAACGAAAGUUUGGCUAAUACCGCGUAAGCUCUAAGGAGGAAAGUAGGGGACCUAAAUAAGGCCUUACGCUAUUUGAUCGGCCGAUGUCGGAUUAGCUAGUUGGUGGGGUAAUGGCUCACCAAGGCAAUGAUCCGUAGCGGGUCUGAGAGGACGAUCCGCCACACUGGGACUGAGACACGGCUCAGACUCCUACGGGAGGCAGCAGUGGGGAAUUUUGGACAAUGGGGGAAACCCUGAUCCAGCCAUGCCGCGUGUAUGAAGAAGGCCUUAGGGUUGUAAAGUACUUUUGUUAGGGAAGAAAAGCUAGUUUUUAAUAAAAAUUAGUGAUGACGGUACCUAAAGAAUAAGCACCGGCUAACUACGUG